GUCGGGAAUUUUGGGCAAUGGGCGAAAGCCUGACCCAGCAACGCCGCGUGAGGGAUGAAGGCCUUCGGGUCGUAAACCUCUGUCGGGAGGGAAGAACGUUCCCGGGGUGAACAAUCCCGGGGGCUGACGGUACCUCUAGAGGAAGCGCCGGCUAACUCCGUGCCAGCAGCCGCGGUAAUACGGAGGGCGCAAGCGUUGUUCGGAAUCAUUGGGCGUAAAGCGCGUGUAGGCGGCUUGGCAAGUCGAGUGUGAAAGCCCGGGGCUCAACCCCGGAAGGUCGCUCGAAACUGCCUCGCUCGAGUCCCGGAGAGGAAGGCGGAAUUCCCGGUGUAGAGGUGAAAUUCGUAGAUAUCGGGAGGAACACCAGCGGCGAAGGCGGCCUUCUGGACGGUGACUGACGCUGAGACGCGAAAGCGUGGGGAGCAAACAGGAUUAGAAACCCCUGUAGUCC
rnacentral:rRNA from 1 species